rnacentral:tRNA from 1 species
UCCGCGAUAGCUCAGUCGGUAGAGCAAAUGACUGUUAAUCAUUGGGUCCCUGG